rnacentral:rRNA from 1 species
GACGAACGCUGGCGGCGUGCUUAACACAUGCAAGUCGAACGGAAAGGCCCUGCUUUUGUGGGGUGCUCGAGUGGCGAACGGGUGAGUAACACGUGAGUAACCUGCCCUUGACUUUGGGAUAACUUCAGGAAACUGGGGCUACUACCGGAUAGGAGCUCCUGCUGCAUGGUGGGGGUUGGAAAGUUUCGGCGGUUGGGGAUGGACUCGCGGCUUAUCAGCUUGUUGGUGGGGUAGUGGCUUACCAAGGCUUUGACGGGUAGCCGGCCUGAGAGGGUGACCGGCCACAUUGGGACAGAGAUACGGCCCAGACUCCUACGGGAGGCAGCAGUGGGGAAUAGUGCACAAUGGGCGGAAGCCUGAUGCAGCAACGCCGCGUGCGGGAGGACGGCCUUCGGGUUGUAAACCGCUUUCGCCUGUGACGAAGCGUGAGUGACGGUAAUGGGUAAAGAAGCACCGGCUAACUACGU